AGAGGGAGGAAAAAAAAAAAGUUUAAAACAAAGGGAUCCAUACUGCAUAGGCAAAGCACUCAUGCAUCUAAUCCCUGAUUAUUACUUGGCGUGUCUGAAGCAGAGUAUUUAUUGAAAGUACAGAGAGAAAGCGUGGUCCGCGGGACAGGCUGGCGCGCAGGUAGCUCGGAGCUGCAGGCAGAGACCUGGAGGCAGGCGGCUCUGGGGGAGUAUUUUACCUGUGAGCGCCCUGCCCGGGGUGACAGCCCCGCUCCCGCAGCCUGGACCCGUGCUCCCCCUCCCGAGCCGUGACUCAUGGAAUAAUGUCACCAUUUCACAUCCAAUCCCGACAGAGCCGGCUGCACUUUUCCCUGAGCAAAACGCUUUCUUGCUAAAGACUGAGCCACGAGUGGAUAAUGCAAAAUACAGAGGGCUGGAAAUUGAGUGGGAGCUGCUUGAACUGCUUCAAAACACUAACAAGGUGGAGACAGAAAUUGUAACCCAAUGCUUUUGUGGAAAUUUGUGAAUAAGACUGAGGAAAUAAGACAAAGAGGAAAAAGAGAGCUGAGUUCUAGUCACGCCCUCAAAAGAUGCCAGCACAGACCAAGUCAUGUAAUCUUGCCAAGCUGCUUCUGUCCUGAGCUGCAGGGGUCUCUGAGAUAGGUCAACAUACCUUCUCAUUUGUUCCAUUGUUUCUGGGAAGAUUUCCAUCUGGAAUAAAGUUUCCAGGACCAAAGAUAAAAAUGUAGUU
rnacentral:lncRNA from 1 species